rnacentral:rRNA from 1 species
AUUGAACGCUGGCGGCAGGCCUAACACAUGCAAGUCGAACGAGUGGCGGACGGGUGAGUAAUGUCUGGGAAACUGCCCGAUGGAGGGGGAUAACUACUGGAAACGGUAGCUAAUAACGCAUACCAUCGGAUGUGCCCAGAUGGGAUUAGAUAGUAGGUGGGGUAACGGCUCACCUAGGCGACGCUCCCUAGCUGGUCUGAGAGGAUGACCAGCCACACGGGAAGUUAGACACGGUCCAGACUCCUACGGGAGGCAGCAGUGGGGAAUAUGGCACAAUGGGCGCAAGCCUGAGGCAGCCAUGCCGCGUGUAUGAAGAAGGCCUUCGGGUUGUAAAGUACUUUCAGCGAGGAGGCGUUACUCGAAGAAGAAGCACCGGCUAACUCCGUGCCAGCAGCCGCGGUAAUUC